rnacentral:rRNA from 1 species
AACAGAUAAGAGUUUGAUCCUGGCUCAGAAUGAACGCUGGCAGUAGGCUUAACACAUGCAAGUUGAACGGGUCAAAAGAUCAGUAGCGAACGGGUGAGUAAGGCGUGAGAAUCUACCUCUCAAGGCGGGACAAUCACUGGGGUGGCGAUAGCAACCCCAGGGGAAAAUACCGCAUAAAAGGGCCCAAAAGCCCCGUCUCUUACUCCUGGAUACUUACACCCCGAACCCCCACUUCGAUUCGCCCCGUGAUACCCCCGGAGGGGGUCAGAAGCUCAGGUCGAAGGGAAAUAGGGGUUCGGGGUACGGUCAGGGUUAAAGAUGGAGGGGGGUUCUUAAAGGCAUAGCUCCGGUGAGAGAUGAGCUCCCGUAGGAUUAGGUAGUUGGUGGGGUAAAGGCUCACCAAGCCCAAGAUCCUUAGUUGAUUCGAGAGAAUGAUCAGCCACACUGGGACUGAGACACGGCCCAGACACCUUCGGGCGGCAGCAGUGAGGAAUUUUGGAGUGCGACACGAGGUCCCACCGUUAAUGUGGUUGAAAUCCACCAGGUGACUCCACCCACCUGUCUCCUAGGAUUACUGCACAGCAGAGAUGGGGUGUGGAAAGCGUCCGACAGGGUAGCCUCACCCCUCUUCCAGGAGGAGGAGGGGAGGCGCUGGAGAGAAGUUCCAGAGAGACCAACGUAUAGUCAACCUUACUACCAAGCCUCGUAAACCUAGAGAUUGAGCAAUACAUAGCAGACGGGUUUUGCUUUUCCAAAUGGCAAAAUCGGUGAGAGCAAAAGUCUGCCGGGGUAGAGUGAGGGGUGACUCUGGAACAACACAAGCAGAAAAGGAAAAGCUUGGGGUAAAGAAACGGUGGGAAACGUGGUAACCCCUACUGGCUCUUCCAUAAAGCUCCAUGGAGCUCCAUGAAGCUCCACGGAGGGAAGAGGCCGAACCUUCAGGUCCGGUAUCGCCAAGAGGGGAAAAGAAUUGGGAAAAAGCGAAUGCCUCCCUGUAAUGGGGAGGAUAGAGUCACAGUGACUCAACCCUAAAGGGUGCCCACUUCCCAUGGGUGAUCUCCCCAACUGUCCUGGAGAAUUAUGGUUCCGGAGUCCCCACACCACCAGCUCGCUGGAGGUGGGCAGGGGAAACGGUUCAACCGGACCAGGGUAUCCAGGUCCACCCCCCCCUUUUUUCCGUUGUAGUCCAAUGGAACUUCUAGGGAUAAAACUUAUACUCUAUGAAACUUCUAUGAACUGGUACAGGAUAAACUGGAAACGGGUCUAUUUGGAGAUACUGGAAUUUUAAAAGCAGAUAAUUGGAGCCUACUCCAACCAUGAUCAAAGAAUGGUGAAACAGAUACAAUGGAAGUUGGUCAAAUCCUUUGGGUGCCGAGCAGCAGCAGUAAGAAGAGUUGUCACAAACAGUGGUGGGAAAACAUCCGGGGUUGACGGUGAGAUCUGGGAUACCGGCGAAAAACGGUAUGGAGCUAUCAAAGCCCUGGGUGAACUAACCCAAAACAGCAAGGGGUAUAACCCCUCCCCCCUAAAGAGGAUCUGGAUUCCCAAAGAGGGAGGGGGUGAAAGACCACUGGGUAUCCCCACAAUGUUGGAUCGAGCCUUGCAAGGGGUACACCUCCUAGCAACAGAUCCGGUUGUGGAGGCCCAAUCAGACCCACACUCUUACGGCUUCCGCAAAGAAAGGUCCCCACACAAUGGGAUAGCGAAAAUCUGGGAUCUCCUAAACAAGGAGUCUUCCCCUCGCUGUAUCCUAGAGGGGGACAUCAAAGGAUGCUUCGACACCAUCAACCACGAUUUCCUAUUGCAAGCCACACCGAUGUGUGACUUGGAAACCUUGGAGAAAUGGCUCAAAGCCGGAAUCAUGAAGGAUGGCUACCCAUUUCCUACAACCGCUGGAACCCCACAGGAAGGGAUUAUCUCCCCCCUCCUCGCCAACGUUGCUCUCAACGGACUGGAAGGACUAACCUCCCUCUAUCCCGCCAGGAUGACGGAAAGAGGUAAAAGGUUCAGCACUAAGAUACAUUGCAUCCGCUUCGCCGAUGAUUUUAUCUUCACGGCGGAAAAGGAAAGACUGCUGGAAGAACUCCUCCCACGAGUGGAGGAAUUCCUGGAACCCCGCGGGCUCGCUCUGCACAGGGGGAAAAGCCGGAAAACCAACCUCUCCAAGGGAUUCGACUUUCUAGGAUUUCAUAUAAGCAAACGUCCCAGAAACCGGGGGCACCGCAAUGAGAAGGGGGUAGGAAAGGAGGUAUUAGUCAUCAAACCCACCGUAAAGAACUGCAGGAAACUAAAAGAGGAGGUGAAACUUAUUCUCAAAACUACAUCCAACCCCCUUCAACUGGUGAGAAGAAUCAACCCAGUGACAAAGGGGUGGUCCAACUACUUCCGUAUUCACACGCACAGCACUAAAACCGUCCGAGAAAUUGGAUGGUGGAUCUGGCGAAGGGUAUGGAGGUGGGCCCGAAGAAAACACUUAACCAGGAAUAGUAAGUGGAUCGCCCAGAGGUACUAUGGGGUAAGAUUCUCGGGGAGCUCCAAAGGAAGACUUUGGCGCUUUCGGGUGAGCCCCUCCUCCCCACCCCUCUUCACCAUGGAGGUGAAGCGAGUGGAGAGGCUGUACAAUCUGCCACUGCGGAGAGGGUUCAACCCCUAUCUGCAUCCCCUCCCAGCCUCUGCAGCCCUUCCAUAUGGAGGGUUUGCGUACGGGGGGAGGGGGUCCCUCUCCUCUUCCCUUCCACUGCUCAGUGGGAGGAAGGGGGAGGUUUUCCGUAGGCAGGGCUGGAUCUGUGUAGUAUGUGGAAAACCCUUGAUGGGAGAGGAGGGAGUAGAGCUCCACCACAUCAAGGGGAGGAAGGAAGGGUUACCCCUCUCUCCUCACAGGGUAGAGAACCUGGAAACCCUGCACCGACUCUGUCACCAGCAGAAAACUUAUGGAAAGGUGGUUUCGGAUGAGAGGUUGGAGCUGACAGACUGGGUAGGAGGGUCUCUAGAGACCUAAGAGAUUGCUUGAGCCGUGUGCGGGGAGACUUGCAUGCCCGGUUCUGAUGGGGGGAAAAUCUGUAAAGAUCUACCUAUCCAAAUCAAUGGGCGACAGCCUGAUCCAGCCAUAGUGCAUGGGGGAAGAAGGUUCAUUAGAUCGUAAACCCCUCUCUUCCUAAAGAGAUUAUGACAAGAAAGGGAGGAAAAGUCCCGGCAAACUCCGUGCCAGCAGCCGCGGUAAUACGGGGGGGGCAAGCGUUAUUCGGAAUGAUUGGGCGUAAAGAGCAUGUAGGCGGAUCUACAAAGAUUUUCACCAUUCUCUCCUGGGGGUAACCGAGGAGAGGUGAGAGGUUGUAAAUCUAGAGGAAAGGAGAGGAGGGUGGAAUUCCCGGAGGAGAGGUUAAAUUCAUAGAUACCGGGAGGAAGGCGGAAAGCGAAAGCAUCCCUCUUUCCCUUGCCUGACGCUGAGAUGCGAAAGCGUGGGGAGCAAAAGGGAUUAGAGACCCCUGUAGUCCACGCCAUCAACGAUGAGGGUUCACUCUCAGAGAAGAGAAAAAGAAAAAAAACAGCUCCUCUUUGGGGGUUUAGCAAACGCGGUAAACCCUCCGCCUGAGGAGUACGGCCGCAAGGCUAAAACUCAAAGGAAUAGACGGGGGCCCAUACAAGUGGUGGAACAUGUGGUUUAAUUCGAGUGCGACACGAGGUUGCUUAAAAGAGUCAGUACCAUACUGCAGAAAGUGUUAUUCUGUCCUCGGUCUGGGUGGCGUAGGAGAGUAAUCCCUAGGUCAUAGAGCACUGGACAAAAGGGGAACUGUCGAGAUAUUAAGUGAGGCAGCUUCCCCCAGGGGAAGGGGAGUAAAGAUAUGAAAGGUGGCCUCGUCAAACCCGCUUAAACGGAUGCCAAACCUAAGGGAUGCGGCAGCCUGCAGACGAAAUAGGUCUAGAGUAGUGAUACUAAACACGGCGGCGAAUCCUCGGAUGUUCGCCGAAACACACGUGAGAACCUCGGGGUGUUUAUUCAUAUCAGUACUCUCCGCAUCUCUUUUAAGUAAAACGUGCAACCGACCUAUGGUCUUUAAAAAGUAGGCUAACCGAAAGGGAUAAACCAUAUCCAUAGGCCGGGUCGGAUAAUCCUUCUCGCGACGCGCUGAUCUCCAGUGCUAUAAUUUGGCUGGCAAAGUGAAAAAGCAAGUAGUCGAGCUUUUAUCAAAAGCGAAAGGGAAAGUUCUCUACCGUCCUACCCCCCACUCCUAACCCUGACCCUGGCUACCGCAACUCUGGGGGUCGGGGUUAGGAGUGGGGGGUAUCAAGGGGCUGCGUAGGAUGACGAAGCAACCCCUCUUCCAAGUGAAAAGAAGUUGCUUGGUCAGCUUUAGCAGCCCCUUGAUACCCCCAGAGGGGGUCAGGGUUAGGAAUAGAAUAUAACCUGCCAAAAAGAAAGAAGGAUUAGGUCAUCUUCCUGGAAAACAAACUCCAUUCCAACUACGAAAUAAUAACUAAAGAUUUGGAGCUCUAUAGCUGCAAAUUUCCCAAAGAAGAAUGCUCAAAAAUCUUUAAAUAAUUCCAUGGGAAAAGGUGUCCGUUUCUCGGUUUAAAAGCCGGAAUUGCAUUCACUGAACCCAAGUUACUACUGUGGUAGUUCGAUUACGGAGGAGAAUCUUUCAGGCGACCCAAGAUAAUAACAAAACACUGGUAAGAGGACUUCAAAAGCUUAUGCCCCGAAGUGAAUCAAACCUAUUACUAAGCAUUCGCCCAAUCCCCGUAGUAAACAAGGGGAAAAACAGAGCUAGCGUAGAUCAUAAAGUCCAACUCACACCAACUGAAAAGUGAAGCCUUUAUUUGAAGCUCUAACCCCUUGAUACCCCCUUCGGGAGCGGAGCGCAGUGGGGGUUAAAAGUAGACUGCUCUCAAUGGAAAGCGAUGGAAACCGGAAAAAUAUUUAUUCCUAAAGCUAAUAAAAAGCUCAGGCCUUUAGGUAUUCCCACCAUCACGGAUCGAAUCAUUCAAUGGAUAAAGCUCCAUGGUGAAGAAUGCACUAGAACCGGAGUGGGAAGCAAAAUUUGAAGGGUGUAGCUAUGGCUUCAGGCCGGGUAGAAGCACACACGACGCGCCCACUUGAAUAUGGAAGACUUUGGCCAAAAACUCUAAAGUAUGGGUGGUGGAUGCAAACAUCCAAGGGUGCUUUGACACCAAAAACCACGCUUCGUCAGCUUUAGCAGCCCCUUGCGGGUUAAGACAAAAUCGGUGACUUCCCUGCCCGCGAAACAAUACAAAACUGGAGCUUUCUAGCUUAAAGUCGGAUAUGUUAUGUAUCCAGAGAAGCAAAAUGUGAUUGAAACUAAUAUGGGAACAGCUCAAAGAGGCGUCAUCAACCCCCACUCCGCUUCUAGCUACCGCUUGCCCCCAAAGGGGGAAUCCCUUGCGGGUUAGUACCGCUUGCCCGUACAAAGCUAGAAGAGGGCAUCCCCUAACCCUGACCCCCGAAGGAAGUACCAAGGGGUAACAGCUUUAGCAGCCCCGUGCGAAGCUCUAACCCCCACUCCUAACCCUGACCCUGGCUACCGCAACUCUGGGGGUAUCGCCCCUCCUACCCGCUGCGUAGGCUGCUGCUAACUACCGUAACCCUGACCCUGGCUACCGCAACUCUGGGGGUAUCGCCCACCCUGCCCGUUGCGGUAGCUAGGGGUAUCCAGGGGUAACGUCAGGGUUAGGCCAACAUAGCACUCCACGGACUAGAAUCCUUUCUAGGGAUCAAAAGCCGAAAAGCUGCUGGCCACGUAAUAGGACCCCGUACCCUGAUAAGGUACGCGGAUGACUUUCUGAUUUUGUGCCGAACUAAGGAAGACGCUAUGAAAACUCACCAAGAAGCCGGGGUUUUUUCUGGCUGAUCAGGGCGGGAUUAAAGUAUAACUCAGAGGAAACCCGCAUAAUGCAUGCCUCUGAAAAAUUCCGUUUUUUGGGAUGCGAUAUAGCCAUUUACUCUAAGCACAAAAAGCAGGUGGUACUCAUUAAGCCGGGGCCUACUGACGAAAAACAAAAGGUCAAAGAGAUCUGGACCAAAAACAGGGAUAACCUUCCUCGUGUAAUAAUCAGACUCCUCAAUCCUCUUUUACGGGGCUAGGCUGUUUAUUAUAGGCCAUACACCUCUUAUGAAAUUUUUCGGAAACUGGAUAACUAGAUCUGGACUUUAUCAUGGCGGUAUGCUAAGCGUAGACACCCAUCCAAAGGGUUACAAUGGACUAACACCCAAUACUUUGAUUUCAGCCAAAAGUGAAGAUGGGCGUUCUUUGACCGAGACGGGGGCCAAAGGUUAUUUCACCUUUCCUCCAUAAGAAUAAGAAGGCACCUAGUAGUUAGUAACCUAGCUUCUCCUGACGAUCCAAAUCUCACAGAAUAUUGGAUCAAACUCAAGGAAAGGAGAGUAACUAUCCACUUCGCUGGAAGUAAAUCAAAGAUGAUGCUGACCAAAAAGCAGAAUUUCUUGUGCCGAAAGUGUGGGGAGUCUUUAGCGGAAAAGGAUGGACUGGAUCUUCACCACAUAUUGCCUAAGUCCAGAAAAGUAAGAGACAACUACGAUAACCUAAUGCUUAUACAUCGAAGCUGUCAUGGCGAAGUUCACAGUAUGGAGAAAUCUAAGCUGUUACCCCUUGUGGGCCAGCGUACGCAGCGGGUAGGGGGGGCGAUACCCCAAAGGGGUAAGGGUUAGAAGUGGGGACAAAAAGAACGAAUAGUUUGGAUGUUUAUUAUCUUUGAAUGGAUGGCGUGAGCCGUAUGCUAGGAGACUUGCAAGUACGGAUCUUAAGGGGGGAAAGCCUGAGAGGGCCUACCUAUCCUAACAACAACGCGCAGAACCUUACCAGUCUUUGACAUAGGUUUCCACCUUUCCCAGCCCCUACCCCCAACCUUAAGGGAAAGGAGGAGGGGAAAAGGGUAAGACUCCACUCCCUGUUAUGGGGAAAAUAGGAGACAACCUACAGGUGUUGCAUGGCUGUCGUCAGCUCGUGUCGUGAGAUGUCUGGUUAAUUCCUUUAACGAGCGCAACCCUCAUGAAGAGUUGCUAGGGGUACCUAUGUAGGGAUCACCCGCACUCUCUUCAAACUGCCAGUGAUAUGCUGGAGGAAGGAGAGGACCACGUCAAGUCAUCAUGACCCUUAUAGGCUGGGCUACACACGUGUUACAAUGGCGGUCACAAAAGGAAGCAAUGGUGUGAGCCGGAGCCAAUCGAUAAAAGCCGUCUCAGUUCAGAUUGCUCUCUGCAACUCGAGAGCAUGAAGUUGGAAUCACUAGUAAUCGUGGAUCAGCACGCCACGGUGAAUCUGUACCUGGGCCUUGUACUCCCCGCCCGUCACGCUCCGGAAGUCGAAUGGGCCAGAAACCAUCCCCCCCUCUUUUCAAAAGAAAAGAGCGCAACCCUUUGAAAAAGGGAGCAUCCCCCCCCAACUGAAAAGGUUAAGGGAAUCUUAACUGUUACCUCUGGAACCCGCAAAGGGUUACCCUCUUUAGAGGGUCAGGGGUAUCCAAGGUUAAGAGUGGAAAGGCAGCUCAUUUUUAUCUUUUAGAGAGAAAGGGGUGUCUAUGGACUGUCUGGUGACUGGAGCGAAGUCGUAACAAGGUAGCCGUAGGGGAACCUGCGGCUGGAUUGACUCCUUCAAAAGUUGAAGCAGUUUUCACAAAAGGAAAUUUUCUUAGCUAAAGCCCGAGCCUGUG